AGAGUUUGAUCCUGGCUCAGGAUGAACGCUGGCGGUAUGCCUAACACAUGCAAGUCGUACGAGAGUUUUUAACUCAAGUGGCGGACGGGUGAGUAACACGUGAGAAUUUGCCUUUAGGAGGGGGAUAACAGAGUGAAAACGCUGCUAAUACCCCAUAUGCUUUCGAGUGAAAUGGAUUUAUUCGCCUAAAGAGAAGCUCGCGGCUGAUUAGCUUGUUGGUAAGGUAAUGGCUUACCAAGGCGACGAUCAGUAUCUGGUUUGAGAGGACGAUCAGACACACUGGAACUGAGACACGGUCCAGACUCCUACGGGAGGCAGCAGUGGGGAAUUUUCCGCAAUGGGCGAAAGCCUGACGGAGCAAUACCGCGUGAGGGAAGACGGCCUAUGGGUUGUAAACCUCUUUUCUCAGGGAGGAAAUCAAUGACGUUACCUGAGGAAUAAGCAUCGGCUAACUCCGUGCCAGCAGCCGCGGUAAGACGGAGGAUGCAAGUGUUAUCCGGAAUCACUGGGCGUAAAGCGUCUGUAGGUGGCUUAACAAGUCAACUGUUAAAUCUUGAAGCUCAACUUCGAAAUCGCAGUCGAAACUGUUAGGCUAGAGUAUAGUAGGGGUAAAGGGAAUUUCCAGUGGAGCGGUGAAAUGCGUAGAGAUUGGAAAGAACACCGAUGGCGAAGGCACUUUACUGGGCUAUUACUGACACUCAGAGACGAAAGCUAGGGUAGCAAAUGGGAUUAGAUACCCCAGUAGUCCUAGCCGUAAACAAUGGAUACUAGAUGUUGGGCGGAUCGACCUGUUCAGUAUUAAAGCUAACGCGUUAAGUAUCCCGCCUGGGAAGUAUGCGCGCAAGCGUGAAACUCAAAGGAAUUGACGGGGGCCCGCACAAGCGGU
rnacentral:rRNA from 1 species